GACGAACGCUGGCGGCGUGCUUAACACAUGCAAGUCGAACGAAGUGGCGAACGGGUGAGUAACGCGUAAUCAACCUGCCCUUCCGAGGGGGACAACAGUGGGAAACGACUGCUAAUACAGCAUACUGAAGGAGGGGAUUGCGUCUGAUUAGCGAGUUGGGGGGGUAACGGCCCACCAAGGCGAUGAUCAGUAGCCGGUCUGAGAGAAUGAACGGCCACAUUGGGACUUAGGCACGGCCCAGACUCCUACGGGAGGCAGCAGUGGGUAAUCUUCCGCAAUGGACGAAGGUCUGACGGAGCAACGCCGCGUGAGUGAUUACGGCCUUCGGGUUGUAAAGCUCUGUUAAUCGGGACGCGGUACCGGAAUAGAAAGCCACGGCUAACUACGUGCCAGCAGCCGCGGUAAUUC
rnacentral:rRNA from 1 species